UAUAUAUCUUCUAGAAUAGUAGAAGCACUUAGGGGCUGUUUGGUUGUGCGCAUUUGCAACUGCAGUACAGUUGCAAAUGCAUGCAGCCACAAUUCCUUUGUUUGGUUUAGUGUAGUUGAGUUCAAUUGCUGCAGUUCCAACUGCACAAGAAGGCCCAAAUACUGCAGUUGGAACUACAUCCAAAUUGGUCGUAGUUCCAACUGCAGCAGUUGGUGAGGGAUAGAAUCACCCACAAAUUAAUAAUAAUAAAUAAAUAAAUAAAUAAAUAAAUAAAUAGCUAAAUAAAUAAAUAAUAUAUGUAUAUAGGUAAAUAAAAAUACUUAUAAAUAAACUCAUACUAAUAAAAUUUUUUAGACAAUACAAGCUUUGUGCAAAAAAUUAAUUUUUUUAAAUUUAUUUUAUUUAAAAUAUAAAUAUAGUUUUUUUUUCUAAAUUUUUAUAGAAUGUGAUCGUGUAUGUUAAUUUAAUAAGUUUUAAUUAAUUAUAAUUAUUAAAUUUGAUUAAAAAAAAAGAAGAGAGAAUCGUUUAAAUUUUUAAAGUUUGAUUUACAUAUUAAAAUUAAAUAAAUUAAAAAUUUUAAAUGUGUCGAUUAAUAAGUUGAAGAAUUAUUGAAAAAUAUAAAAAUAUUAUAUAUAUCUACUUAUUUAUUUAUAAAUAGUAAAUUUAAAUAAUUAAUAAAUUUAUACAAUUAUUUUAUGUUUAGUGAAGGUAACCUCACCACUCUAUCUGAAGAGGUGACAAAAUUCAUAAAUACAACUAUCAGCUUCAUAUUACCAAACAGAAGAAAUGUAACUGCAGUAGUUGCAACUGCGUAAAACCAAACAGACUAGGUGUAGUUAUAACUGCAGUAUUUGCAACUGCAUGUAUUUCCAACUACACUGUUUCUGCAACUACAUCUAACCAAACGGCCCCUUAAUUUCCUUCUUUUUUUUUCGAGCAAUAGAUUGUGACACCUAGCUCGGAGGUUAAUGUAUCAAUCUCUUAAUAUUUUUGAUGAGAUAAAGUUAAAAGCUCAGCACUUAGCAAUUAGUUUAAUAAUUUAACAACAUUCGACCAAAACAUCUAUUUCGCACUACUACUUAAUUAGGAUAUAAAUAUUUUUUUGGUUAUUGAUCAUUCUUAGAACAAUUAGUUAAAUACUUGAUGAUUAGUAUACAAACUUUUAAAUUUGAAUUCUUAUUAUUUUACAUCCUUGCGAGGUAUCUGAAGUUUUUUUUUAAAAAAAAAACAAAAAAACUUAGGAGCUCGUGCUCUACUUCGGCGCGUUGGAUGGUGGACCAACGACAUCCGUUGAUUUCUCAUUUGACGGCGAUAGCGCGAAUCACGGGCAUCACCGUCCAACCGGUUGAUCUGACGGUCAACGUUGGUCCUUUGCUUUGAUAUACUAUGCAUUGAUGGGCAACGUGGACUCGAGAGGACCCUCGCAUAUACGAUGGCUUAUCCACCUAAUGAUGUGACCAAAACUAAGUUAUCAAUUCCAAUAUGAUGGUUUAUCUAUAAAAAAAAAACUUUUAUUAAAAAAUAUGCAUAAUCGAACCUAUUUAGGAAUAUUCUCAUGGUAGAGAUAGAAUUUGCUACGGGUCAGGUCGGGUCGGGUCGGGUCAGAUUCAACUAAAUAUACUGAUCCAUUAAAACCAACCUAACUCAACUCAUGAUUGAUCAGAUAAUUUGUCCAACUAACCUAUCAAUCUGAUUCGAUCCAAUUCAAUCCACAAAUCUUACUCAACCAAACCUGUCGAUCAGCCAACUCUACCCAACCCAACUGAUGAUCAAACCUUCAACCGUGUUAAAUAAAGCAUUACUAUUUGUACACCUAUUUUAUAAGUGUAAAAUUUAUAUCCUGACAUUUGAAAGAUUGUGAUGUACUCAUUUGACACAUCACAUUUUUUGUAAUGCUGAAAAAUUUUAAAAAGUUUAUAAGCUUUUGGAUGCAAUGGGUGUAAGAUAUACACUCCCAUAUGGGUUGUAAAAAUAAAUAUUUUCUAUUGAAUAAUAUGACAUAAUUGUUAAAAAAUAAUAUUUACAAAAAUAAUAAUAAUAUUCUAUUGUUAAUUGACCCAUCUCUAUUAGAUUACAUGACAAAAAGAGAGUAAGAACACACAUAUUAUGAGCAAUUAGUGUGUUUUAUUACAUAAAAAUAAACUAAUACGCCUUAUUAAAGAUAAAAAAGGCAUAUACAUAGAUAUAUUCCAUACGCCCUAUGUUUAUGUAGGAUUAUAUGUCUUGGUGCAUGUAAUCGAAAAAAUACACUGUUUUCCUUUUGCAAACUUUUAUUUUAAUGUAAUCAAAAAAUCGCAUAAUUUAUUUUCUAGGUACUUCAAAUACUCUAGAUCAAGUUUAACGGAGCCGAUCGACGAUUCGAAAGUCGCAACAUCGAAAACGAGCUGGAAGCACGAAAGGCUCCGUGCUUCCGAUAGCAUAGUAGCCUUACUCUCUGCUCUCUCUCUCUUUCAUAUAUAUAUAUAUUUAUUAUAUAUAUUAUAUAUAUAUAUAGUCCGGCUGGGUACUACUCAUAGACCAUGCAUUUUGGUGCUAUCUAAGCUUAUUCUAAAUCUCGACGAUCGCUCGGGUGCAGACUUCUUACACUGGAUUUGGUAAGUAUUUGAAACUGAAUAUUAUAAUUUCGACAUCAUGAUAGGCUAGUUGAUCAGAGGGAGAGUGGGGGGGUCUCAAAGUGAUAAUUUUGUAAGUUUAGUAGAUGUGAUGAUUGUUGGUAACGCCUGGUGUAAAACAAUCCAAUAAGAUGAAAAUUUUUAUAGGAAAUAUUUUUUACUAUUUAGAGUAAGAUCAGUACCUAUGAUCUUAAAUUCAAUUAUUUUAUGAGACUUUAUAUUUUUAGUCGUUCAUUUUUAGACUACUGUUUGAUAGGUAAAUGAUACCAAUACAAAUUAUGAAUUUUAGUUUCCAAAUACUCUUCAUAGUGUAGAUCAAGUCUACGGCCGAUGUCGAUUUGAUAAGCUGGUGUGGUGUUGGCUGGGUAUGCCAUAGUGUAGAAUUGGGGUGGUAGCACGGAGGUGGUGUGUUGGUGCACGAUAGUAUACCAGCCGUGCUUGUAUAUAUAUAUAUAUAGAGGAGAGAAGAGAGAGAGAGCAGGGCUACAUUGCUAUUUGGAGUACAGCAACCCUUGUGCUCCUAACUUUCUAACCACCCAUCAAUGUUUUGAUUGGGUGCUGUUAGAAUGAUAGAGAAGAGAUAUUGGGAGAAAUUCAGAAGACGAAAUUGAGACACCCAAUUCUUCCCAAUAUCUCUUUCCUCUCUUAUUUCUAAACCAUCCAUCAAUCUUGAUGAGUGUUAGAAAGGUUAGGAGCACAAGGACUGUCCGUUGCUCCUUAAUAGCCACAUAGCCCGUUCUAUAUACUAUAUAUAUAUAUAUAUAUAAUAUAUAUAUUAUAGGGCUACUUAGUACUUAUAGUACUGAAUUUUUGUUACUAUUAGUCUCGUGUUUCAAUCUUAAGGUAUUCAAAUGAACGAUUCACACAGUUAAAUAUGAAGUUUUCAAUUUUUUCGAUAUUAUUUACUUUAUAAAUAAAUU
rnacentral:lncRNA from 1 species